AUGCUCGAAGAGCUGCAGCAGGAAGGUGGCCACGGUGGCGGUGAUGCCGAUGAACAGGUUGAUGACAAUGAGGAACACGUAGGCCGAGCUGGGCACCUCGAACCAGAAGGAGGCCGGGUACAUGAUGGGGGUGAUAGACCACCUGCAGGGAGGGUGCGGGUGGUCAGCAGGUGGCCCGCCCCCACCCCAGGCCCACUCCCCGGCGCGCUCCCCUUACCCGUAGAGCAGGAAGAGGGAGAGCACGGCAGGGAAGUUGGUGGGCGACGUGUAGGCCGGCAAGUCGAACACAAACAGGAUGAUGACGCAGCAGGUGGCCGGGACCAGGUAGUUCAGCUACCGGAGCAGGAGCGGCAGGUGAGGGCCUGGGAGCGGGGGGGAGGGGCGCCGGGGGCAGGACUGGUGGGCCUGGCAGGAGACAGGGUCACGGGACGGCAGGGGCCAGGGGUACCGGUAACCCCCCCAGCCGUGUGGAGGGCGCACCAUGUCCCACACGUAGUUAGCGAGCCAGUAGACGACGGGGUUGCAGCCGCUGACAAACUGCAGAUGCUUGGCCUUGGUGGACUUCUCGGCCACCAGGAAGACCACGAAGCUGGCCGGCACGAAGGACAUGGCCACGAUGAUGAAGAUGGCGAUGACCACGUCCGUGCCCUGCAGCCUGGGGGCAGGGCAGCCAUCAGCCCCUGCCUGGCACCCCGGCCUGCGGCAGAGCUCCCGCCCCCUGCCCCAUACGCACAGGUAAUCCAGGGAGAGGCUGGCGCUCGUCUUGUUCAUGGGGUGGUUGGUGACAGUGAUGCCUACGCCACAGGGGAAGGCAGCCUCAGGGACCUGCCCGCGCCUGCCCCGCCCCCUCCCCUCGCCCUCCCCCGCAGGCUCACCAUAGGCCGCCGGGUUGCCCUUGCUCUUGGGCAGGUUGGCACGCAGGAUGGCAUUGUUGAGGCUGUUGAGGUAGGUGGGCAUGCUGUGGUAGCCCUUGUUGUUGUAGAAAACCUGGAGGGGCCCAGAAGUGCCCUAAGAGCCCUGUGGGUUCCUGCCCACCUCGGGCGAGAGCCGGGGGCCGCAGGGCCUGGGGCUGCACCGCUCACCUGGGCUGCCCUGCGCACGGCGAUCUUCCGCACCAUGACCGGGGCCCGGGCACCAAAUGACGCUGGGACGGACUUCUGGACAUUGCCAAAGGUGAUGGCCCCGUACCUGGGCAGGCAGGUCGAGGGGCGGUGA
rnacentral:lncRNA from 1 species